GGAUGGGUGACCGCCUGGGAAUACCGGGUGCAGUAGACUUUUGAUUUUUUUUUCAUUUUCAUUUUUUUUUUUCCCGUGUUAGAUGAAGUUUUAUGAUUUUCUAUCCGGCAUAUUACUGUAUGUGAGCGAUAAAUGCCCGAAAAAAUAGAAGAAAACAAGAAAUAUUCGCGGACAGAGAUAAUACAGGCGGUGAAGUGUGUGUAUUUGUUACUUUUUGUUGCAUUUUUGUUAAGUAAAACUUAUUGAGGAAACAUUUCUCCCAGCUAGUAUACAACCGGAACAAGCUAUGUACAUGUUGCGAAACUUUGACUAUUUCUAGGCACGAAGUGGACGGAACGAGGCACGGGAUAUGAUGCUGGCACAAGCCUUAUUGUAUAAUAACGUCAACGUGUACAGGAAAUGACGUAAAAGACGUAACGUCAGUAGCAUCAGCUCCAUGGUGGUCACGUCGCCGCUUCCACUAUAAGAGCAGCCUGUCAUUACGAAAUAAGGCACGAAGUGGACGGAACGAGGCACGGGAUAUGAUGCUGGCACAAGCCUUAUUAUAUAAUAACGUCAACGUGUACAGGAAAUGACGUAAAAGACGUAACGUCAGUAGCAUCAGCUCCAUGGUGGUCACGUCGCCGCUUCCACUAUAAGAGCAGCCUGUCAUUACGAAAUAAGGUAAGAAAAGGCGAUUUGAAUCACAACAAGCUCAUAAAAAUGUCGGUUCAACGUACUGAAUAUGUUUUCCGUACGUUGGAUGGUAGCUCGAAUUCGGAAUUCAGUUAAAAAAGGAGCGGGGGAUGACCGUUAUUGUAGCGGUCAUAUAUUAGUUUUAAAAAUACAUAGAGCCUAUGACUGGCGAUUCUUUUUACUGCUUUUGGACGUUUGGCUCGUGGUGUGAGAAUUGCACACAGGGGCGGAGUAUAUCUGAACUGCUAACCGGGAGACUGUUGUAAUUUAGUGGAAUAAAAUGUUUCAUUGUCGGAGUUGAGGCAUACUUACCUGGUACAGAGGCUACCGUGAUCAGCCAGGCGGUGCCUCCAGGAAGAGACCCUUCCAUUGCACUUCGGUUGGGUUGAAGCCUGCGAUUACCCCUAAUGUGGGUAACUCGGGUACGCAAUUUAUUUGUGUGGGGGUCUGCGUUCGCGCUAACCCCUGUC